rnacentral:rRNA from 1 species
CCCUCCCUAGUUCUUACCGCCUAUAUACCACCGUCGCCAGCUUACCCUGUGAAGGCCUAAUAGUAAGCACAAUUGGCACAGCCCAAAACGUCAGGUCGAGGUGUAGUGCAUGAGAGGGGAAGAAAUGGGCUACAUUCGCUGCCUGCCAGCGAACACGAAUGUUGUAUUGAAACAUACAACUGAAGGAGGAUUUAGCAGUAAGCAGAAAAUAGAGUGUUCCGCUGAAACCGGCUCUUAAGCGCGCACACACCGCCCGUCACCCUCCCCAAGCACCUGGACCCAAAUUUUCUUAAACCUACACAAACGCGAAGGAGAGGAAAGUCGUAACAUGGUAAGCGUACCGGAAGGUGCGCUUGGUUAAAC